CACAACAAGAAAAGCUAUGAGGGGGGUCCCCUCAAGAAUGUAUACCAGCCUUUUCCAGUUCAUAACUCAGGAAUGUUUAGCUCGACUUGAUAUACAUUUUCUUAUAAAAAAAUUAAUGAUGAGCAAGAACUCACUAGCUAAUUCAAAGGAAUCCCAUAAGGAUUUUUGAAAAUCAAGGCAAUCUUCUGUUGAAUGUUGAAUUAGAAGGGUUUUCUCGUCUAUAUACAAUGUGUUCU
rnacentral:lncRNA from 1 species